rnacentral:lncRNA from 1 species
CGACAACAAGAACCAGGGUGGGAGUAACCCCAGAUUUUACCUAGAUAUGAGCUAAACAAGUUGCUUCUUGAUUUCACAUUGGCAAUUGCGAUAGUACUUUGAGGACUGGCCCAGAAAGCAUUUUCAUCCCCUGGCAAAACUCUUCCCCAUCAGCUUCCCAACCAUGUGUACAAAGGAAAUGCAAAUACAUGUGAAUAGUAGCCUGAGUCAAAGUCUUCUUGGAAGGUAAGGCUGCUUGCGACUGCUGCUGCUUUGAAAAAGAAAAAUCCUACAAUGCAAGUGAAAGGACAGAUUUUCUGAGCCACUGCUUCUGCACCAGGGUGAGGGUUCAGAAGGACGAAAUACAGGUACCAUGGUUCUCUGAAGAGAUGGUCUUGUGUGGAGCACACCUGGCAUGAAAGGAUGGGGACAGCUUCUACCCUCUCCCCAGCAGGGCCCGACAAGCAGGCUGUGUGGCAUUCCUGUAUUUCCAGGGCUGGCACAGUGGCUGACACACAGUAGCUGCCUGCACCAAGACCUGUACUCGUUGGAGACUAUGAUGGACAACACAACAUGAAUUUCUUGCCCUCAGGUGGUUUACAAUCUAGAGAGGGAGGCAGACAAAUGACCAGAUGACAUCCGAGAGACCAAGCUUUGCCUGCCCUCCUGUGGCCUUGGCUGGGGGAUCCUCCUGUGGCCCAUGGAAGGGGCAUUUCUCUGAACUGAAGGACUCCACCUCUCCUAUGCUAUAACUGGCCAGGGAUGGGCCUGCAGUGGCUGAUCAGAGGUUCAGCCCUUGGUAAUUCAAGCCAAUCCAGUUUCUUGCCUUAAAAUUUGUAAUUGACAUGCUGACAGAUGAAGUUAGUUACAGGUGGUGAGUGAGCUUCAAGUUUAUGGAGACUUGGGACUGAAGCCACUUGAUGAGCCACGUAUUCCCAGAGAGUGUGUAAAAGCAAAAGAAGCAACCAGAAGAGAGGAUGAGAGAGGGGAAGGGGGCAGACUUGGAGAGUCAGCUCCCCUUGAUGGCAACAACUCCCCUUGCUCCUUAUCUUUGUGUCCUGUGAGAUUACCAUUCUUUAAAAUAAAUCCCUCUCUUCCUGCGACAAGUAGACUGAAUUUGUUUUUCUUACAAGCAAAAGUUCUGUUUUUAAUUCAAAAUGUUAGAGAACAAUGUGCAGUCAGCCUUUCUAUCUACAGGUUCUGCAUCCACAGAUUUAGCCAGCCUAGGAUUGAAACUGUAGUUAGGCCUGUAAUGGUUGUGUCUGUAGUGAACAUGUGCAGACUUUUUUCUUGUCAUUAUUCCCUAAACAAUACAGAAUAACAACUAUUUACAUUGCAUUUACAUUGUACCAGGUAUUGUAUGCAAUCUGGAGAUGAUUUAAAGUGUACAGGAG